CACGGGUGAGUAACACGUAUCCAACCUGCCGUCUACUCUUGGACAGCCUUCUGAAAGGAAGAUUAAUACAAGAUGGCAUCAUGAGUCCGCAUGUUCACAUGAUUAAAGGUAUUCCGGUAGACGAUGGGGAUGCGUUCCAUUAGAUAGUAGGCGGGGUAACGGCCCACCUAGUCUUCGAUGGAUAGGGGUUCUGAGAGGAAGGUCCCCCACAUUGGAACUGAGACACGGUCCAAACUCCUACGGGAGGCAGCAGUGAGGAAUAUUGGUCAAUGGGCGAGAGCCUGAACCAGCCAAGUAGCGUGAAGGAUGACUGCCCUAUGGGUUGUAAACUUCUUUUAUAAAGGAAUAAAGUCGGGUAUGCAUACCCGUUUGCAUGUACUUUAUGAAUAAGGAUCGGCUAACUCCGUGCCAGCAGCCGCGGUAAUACGGAGGAUUCGAGCGUUAUCCGGAUUUAUUGGGUUUAAAGGGAGCGUAGAUGGAUGUUUAAGUCAGUUGUGAAAGUUUGCGGCUCAACCGUAAAAUUGCAGUUGAUACUGGAUAUCUUGAGUGCAGUUGAGGCAGGCGGAAUUCGUGGUGUAGCGGUGAAAUGCUUAGA
rnacentral:rRNA from 1 species